UUCCAUUACGAAAAGAUCCUGAACCGACCGGGAAUUGAGCCCAGACACCUUCAGCAUGGCUUUGCUCAAAAAGCAUAUUUGUAGUUAAACUUUUACGAAUAAUUAGAAAUAAUGCAAAAGUACAUACUUUUUUGAAUCGCAUCAUAUGAUUUGUAAGAUUCAAUUUUAUUUUUAGAAAUCCGGAAUAAUGACCGAAAUUUAUGCAAAAUUUAUAAGUUAUAAUUACUAAAACAAAAUAUCAGAACAUUCAGAAUGGAAUUUUGUUGACAUCAUGAGAAACAAGUAGAUUCGAAAACGAUUUGGAUAAAUAAGUAGAGUGCAAUCCUUUUGCUUAAAUUCCUAACUAUUUUCUAACGUGAUUUUUUCAAUUGUAACGAAAGUUUUCUCAACGAAGUUUAGAACUAGGUUAGAAUGCAAUUUAUAGAUCUCAGAUCAAGUAAUAGAAUUUAAUUAUAAAAAUAUUAAUUCGUGAAAUUACUCUAUCGAUCACACUGCAUGGUUGGUAGUGUUUAAGUGCCUUGAAUAUAGAAACUUUAGAGACAUCUAGCU